GGUGGUGUAGCUCAGUGGUAGAGCACUUGCCUAGCAUGCAUGAGGCCCUGAGUUCAAUCUCUAGUACUACAA
rnacentral:tRNA from 1 species